rnacentral:lncRNA from 1 species
GGAGCACUGUGGAUAAGACCCAACUCUUCGGAGCCUCAGUUUAUUAUCAUCUGUAAAAUGGGGAUAACACCAACAGUCUUAGAGGGUUGUUGCAAUGACUAUGUGAAAAACAAACAAAUUAAUACAUGUAGGAUUGCUGUCAGAUUCAUUAUUCUAGAGAGAAAGACGUUAUGCACAUGGAUUAAACCUGAAAGGGAAAAACUGAGGAUUUACUAGCUUUCAGGACUUGCUUUAGCCACUCUAUACGGGGUGUAAAUUGGUAGAAUCUGUAUGGAAAAUCAUUAAGAAAUAUCAGUCACAAUUUAAACGUAGGUCCCCUUUGACUCAGCAACUUCCCUUCUAGGAAAUACCCGCACAUAUUCGUAAAGAUGGGCACACAAGGGGAAAAGCUGGAAACCAGCUAAAAGGGCCACUAAAGAGGGACCGUGAUGGAUCAGCACAGUGGACAUUGCAGAAUUGAACGAGGCAGGUCACGAUUCACCAGCAUGGAGAGAUUUUUAAAAUACAAUGGUACUUCUCGGGGCCUGAUAGCGCACUGAAUUGAAACUUGCAGCUGAAACAUUGCCAGAAAAAAGAAACACGGGUGCAAGCUCUGAGCCCCAGUCUUCCCGAAGUCACCCUCCCAGGCGAUGCCUUUGUGUCCAUUCACAGCUCAGAAGGUGUGCUGUAGGAGGAGAGGAGGAGAAGGUCAUGGGUGGGGAAAGAGCUGGGUGGAAAUUGCUUGAAACAAAAAUCCCCAGGGAUUGACGUCGGCAAGCCAUUCCCCAAUCUGGACAGCAGGUGGCGGAAGUGACCGAGAUUUCUUUGACCAUCACCAAAGGGUCCAGAAUCCCCUGGUUCUGCUGUAGAAUGUGCUCCUUCUCCAAGGGCACAGACUAGAGGGCUCCUUCACCGUCUCAAGCAGGUCCACAUGCUCUUCCCAGAGAAAGGCUGCAACGUGCUUUGAGAGAAGAGAACCGGGUCAGCCACCUCCUCCCAGAAAAGGGCGAGAUGAGGACAUUCUUUCUCCCCAAACACCAGCAGUGUUCCGGGCUGGCUUGUGAAGCAGGAGCUAUCAGAUGAGGCAUAAAGAGACGCUAUCAGCAGGACCCGGGCAGCCAGAGCCCAAGCCUGGCUCUCCCCCAGGGCUGGGGCUCCCAUGGCAUUCUUCUGCGAGACAGUAAGCUGGGAGGAAGGCUAAGGAGACACACGCACACACCACCUCCCUCUGACUCACAAGACAAAGCACGGCUAAUUGUUUUUCUCUUGGAUGAGCACGAAGGCAGUUAGAGAGGCUGCCUAGUGAAUGGGAGAAGGUGGACUUGGAGCCAGCCACAUCUGGCUUCUAGGUCUUGCUCACUUCUCCAAGCCUCAUGUUCUUCACCUGUAAAGGGCAAGAGGAAUAAUAGCAACUUAACGGACCAUUACCAGGAUUAAAGGAAAUAUGGUCCAGGACGGGGCUAGACUCCAUAAAUGUGUGCCCAAUGGGAACCAUCAGUUAUAUUCAGAGGGCAGACUCAGGAAUAACAAACCUAAUGCACAAUUCAGAGCUCUUUUGUUUUGCUUUAUUUUUACAGUUCCUAACUCCUUUGUUAAAAGGAGUUAAAAGAAGAUGGAGACAUCCUCCUGGAUUUCUUCAACUUCCAAAUAUGUCUCCCAUUAAGUUCACAAGGAGAAAGGCGACUGUCUAGAUAAUAUCCUCUUGGCGCCCUCUAGAAGGCCACUUGUUUCUUAUGAUCAAUUUGUCCUCACAGCCAGGUUCAUUUUCUGGCUCCUGAAGGCCAGGGCGAUCAUCUCAAACUGCCCUACUUCUGGGUUGAGGUGACACGUCCGUGUUUUGGUCCCCAAUCCUAUCAGGCCUUUCUCUGUGGCCUCCCACCCCCACCCCAGAUGGGCUCUGAGCAGAGGAUGCUCCUUUGAGUCUGGGAGUUCAGGAUAAAGUGCUCCCUCCCUCCCAGGGUCUGCCCUGGGGCUCAGCUGCCACCAGGACCCAGAAUCUCCCUCUUCUUGUGCCAAAAUUCUGAAGCAAGCCAUG